AGAGUUUGAUCCUGGCUCAGAUUAAACGCUGGCGGCAUGCCUAACACAUGCAAGUCGAACGGAAACGAUGGGAGCUUGCUCCCAGGCGUCGAGUGGCGGACGGGUGAGUAAUACUUAGGAAUCUACCCAGUAGCGGGGGACAACAUUCGGAAACGGAUGCUAAUACCGCAUACGCUCUACGGAGGAAAGCAGGGGAUCUUCGGACCUUGCACUAUUGGAUGAGCCUAAGUCGGAUUAGCUUGUUGGUGAGGUAAAGGCUCACCAAGGCGACGAUCCGUAGCUGGUUUGAGAGGACGAUCAGCCACACUGGGACUGAGACACGGCCCAGACUCCUACGGGAGGCAGCAGUGGGGAAUAUUGGACAAUGGGGGCAACCCUGAUCCAGCAAUGCCGCGUGUGUGAAGAAGGCCUGCGGGUUGUAAAGCACUUUCAGUAGAGAAGAAAAGCCUACGGUUAAUAACCGUGAGUCUUGACGUUACCUACAGAAGAAGCUCCGGCUAACUCCGUGCCAGCAGCCGCGGUAAUA
rnacentral:rRNA from 1 species